ensembl:piRNA 21ur-515 ncRNA
UGAUUGAUAUCUAUUGAUGAU